rnacentral:rRNA from 1 species
GAUAAACGCUGGCGGCGUGCCUAAUACAUGCAAGUCGAGCGAACGGACGAGAAGCUUGCUUCUCUGAUGUUAGCGGCGGACGGGUGAGUAACACGUGGAUAACCUACCUAUAAGACUGGGAUAACUUCGGGAAACCGGAGCUAAUACCGGAUAAUAUUUUGAACCGCAUGGUUCAAAAGUGAAAGACGGUCUUGCUGUCACUUAUAGAUGGAUCCGCGCUGCAUUAGCUAGUUGGUAAGGUAACGGCUUACCAAGGCAACGAUGCAUAGCCGACCUGAGAGGGUGAUCGGCCACACUGGAACUGAGACACGGUCCAGACUCCUACGGGAGGCAGCAGUAGGGAAUCUUCCGCAAUGGGCGAAAGCCUGACGGAGCAACGCCGCGUGAGUGAUGAAGGUCUUCGGAUCGUAAAACUCUGUUAUUAGGGAAGAACAUAUGUGUAAGUAACUGUGCACAUCUUGACGGUACCUAAUCAGAAAGCCACGGCUAACUACGUGCCAGCAGCCGCGGUAAUACGUAGGUGGCAAGCGUUAUCCGGAAUUAUUGGGCGUAAAGCGCGCGUAGGCGGUUUUUUAAGUCUGAUGUGAAAGCCCACGGCUCAACCGUGGAGGGUCAUUGGAAACUGGAAAACUUGAGUGCAGAAGAGGAAAGUGGAAUUCCAUGUGUAGCGGUGAAAUGCGCAGAGAUAUGGAGGAACACCAGUGGCGAAGGCGACUUUCUGGUCUGUAACUGACGCUGAUGUGCGAAAGCGUGGGGAUCAAACAGGAUUAGAUACCCUGGUAGUCCACGCCGUAAACGAUGAGUGCUAAGUGUUAGGGGGUUUCCGCCCCUUAGUGCUGUAGCUAACGCAUUAAGCACUCCGCCUGGGGAGUACGACCGCAAGGUUGAAACUCAAAGGAAUUGACGGGGACCCGCACAAGCGGUGGAGCAUGUGGUUUAAUUCGAAGCAACGCGAAGAACCUUACCAAAUCUUGACAUCCUUUGACAACUCUAGAGAUAGAGCCUUCCCCUUCGGGGGACAAAGUGACAGGUGGUGCAUGGUUGUCGUCAGCUCGUGUCGUGAGAUGUUGGGUUAAGUCCCGCAACGAGCGCAACCCUUAAGCUUAGUUGCCAUCAUUAAGUUGGGCACUCUAAGUUGACUGCCGGUGACAAACCGGAGGAAGGUGGGGAUGACGUCAAAUCAUCAUGCCCCUUAUGAUUUGGGCUACACACGUGCUACAAUGGACAAUACAAAGGGCAGCGAAACCGCGAGGUCAAGCAAAUCCCAUAAAGUUGUUCUCAGUUCGGAUUGUAGUCUGCAACUCGACUACAUGAAGCUGGAAUCGCUAGUAAUCGUAGAUCAGCAUGCUACGGUGAAUACGUUCCCGGGUCU